AGUGAACGCUGGCGGUAGGCCUAACACAUGCAAGUCGAACGGCAGCACAGUAAGAGCUUGCUCUUACGGGUGGCGAGUGGCGUACGGGUGAGGAAUACAUCGGAAUCUACUUUUUCGUGGGGGAUAACGUAGGGAAACUUACGCUAAUACCGCAUACGACCUACGGUUGAAAGCAGGGGAUCUUCGGACCUUGCGCGAUUGAAUGCGCCGAUGUCGGAUUAGCUAGUUGGCGGGGUAAAGGCCCACCAAGGCGACGAUCCGUAGCUGGUCUGAGUGGAUGAUCAGCCACACUGGAACUGAGACACGGACCAGAGUACUAAGGGAGGCAGCAGUGGGGAAUAUUGGGCAAUGGGCGCAAGCAUGAUCCAGUCAUACCGCGUGGGUGAAGAAGGCCUUCGGGUUGUAAAGCCCUUUUGUUGGGAAAGAAAAGCAGCAGGUUAAUACCCCGCUGUUCUGACGGUACCCAAAGAAUAAGCACCGGCUAACUUCGUG
rnacentral:rRNA from 1 species